UACGUAGGGUGCAAGCGUUACUCGGAAUUACUGGGCGUAAAGCGUGCGCAGGCGGUUUUGUAAGUCAGAUGUGAAAUCCCCGGGCCUAACCUGGGAACUGCGUUUGAAACUACAAGGCUAGAGUGUGGCAGAGGGGGGUGGAAUUCCACGUGUAGCAGUGAAAUGCGUAGAGAUGUGGAGGAACACCGAUGGCGAAGGCAGCCCCCUGGGUUAACACUGACGCUCAGGCACGAAAGCGUGGGGAGCAAACAGG
rnacentral:rRNA from 1 species